rnacentral:rRNA from 1 species
UACGGGGGGAGCAAGCGUUGUUCGGAUUUACUGGGCGUAAAGGGCGCGUAGGCGGCCAGCACAAGUCAGUUGUGAAAUCUCCGAGCUUAACUCGGAAAGGUCAACUGAUACUGUGCGGCUAGAGUGCAGAAGGGGCAACUGGAAUUCUUGGUGUAGCGGUGAAAUGCGUAGAUAUCAAGAGGAACACCUGAGGUGAAGACGGGUUGCUGGGCCGACACUGACGCUGACAGCGCGAAAGCCAGGGGAGCAAACGGG